rnacentral:sRNA from 1 species
UGCUAAACGCUUUCUUAGCGAGAUGC